CAGCAGCCGCGGGAAUACGAAGGGUGCAAGCGUUACUCGGAAUUACUGGGCGUAAAGCGUGCGUAGGUGGUGGUUUAAGUCCGUUGUGAAAGCCCUGGGCUCAACCUGGGAAUUGCAGUGGAUACUGGGUCACUAGAGUGUGGUAGAGGAUAGUGGAAUUUCCGGUGUAGCAGUGAAAUGCGUAGAGAUCGGAAGGAACAUCUGUGGCGAAGGCGACUAUCUGGGCCAACACUGACACUGAGGCACGAAAGCGUGGGGAGCAAACAGGAUUAGAUACCCGUGUAGUCCCUGUCUCUUAUAU
rnacentral:rRNA from 1 species